AUAAUAUUUUGUUCUUACGGUUUAAUUGAUUUAUAAUCAAAUUUUAUCACUGUCUUUGUUUACUGAUAAUGACAAUUUCGUUUUAAGCAAUCCAGUAAGUAAAGAAAGUUUUAUAAUUACGGAACAUAUUACCCUCCUCAUUGAAAGCUGAGAAAGAACAAUUGUACUAAUGAAGAAACAUCGGGAUAUUAAUCUGCAUUUACAUCCCAAACUUAACCAUAAAUAUUAUUUUUAAACUAAUAAAACCCUAUUUUUAGUUUACAAUAUGUUUUAAUAACGGAUAUAUUUUCAUACAGAAAAUGUAUUUUUAGUAUAAAAGUUAACUAGGGCAUAUUAAUGUGAUUUAACUUGUCCUGUCUCGUUUACAGAGCUGUUCACGAUGCCGCGACGUCCGGGCAGACCGCCGCAGUUUCCGUGCGGUUUGUGCGGUAAGAGGUACAACCGCAAGGACAACCUACUACGCCAUCAGCGCUUGGAGUGUGGUAAAGCGCCGCAGUUCAAGUGCCCGCACUGCCAUCACCGUACGAAGAGGAGAGACAACAUUCUGAGUCACGUGGCCAUCAAACACCCAGAAAUGUUUUCGGGAUCUGAGUUUGACGGGAUCUGAGUUUGACGCAUCUUAACGCAGGGCGUUGCUGUAUAGCCGAGUCGGAAUUGUGAAUUUGACUGGUUUUAUCUAAUUAAAUACUUGUAAGAGAAUAAACUGCUCCGGUUUGAUUACUAGAGUGUAGCAGUUGAAUACGAUAUGUUCAUUUCCUGAUCCCGAACUUUCAGAUGGUCAACGUUCUUACCAGCUGGAGCUGGUUCUUUGAAGAAGAAAAGUAACGGAUGAUCUGCGAUUAAUUUAUUUUUUCAUAAAAGCCUACUCUGGAGCACAAAGGGUUUAAGGAUAUUUCAUACCAUAUUAAAGGAUUUCUCUCCUUGGUGAACGAUGUGGGAAAAGGACCUCUCCACUUCCUCUGCGGUGACUGCGGUCGGCACUAUAACCGCAAAGACAACCUACAGAGACACCAGAGGCUCGAGUGCGGCCAACAACCGCAGCUAGAGUGUCCGCACUGUCCGCAUCGCGUCAAGAGGAAGGACAAACUGAAGACUCACAUCGCUCUCAAACAUCCAGAGGAGUACCGGGGAAGUCUGAUCUGAAAUUGUGUUUUAGUCGUCCACAAAUUACAGUAAGGAUAGUGUAUCAAUAUAUUGAAGAGACAAUCUAAGGAUAUUAUUUGCCCACUCAAUUAAAAUUUGAAGAAUUUUAUUUUUAGUAAUUAGUUAUCUUACACUGUCGUUUCUUUUACAAAAUAAUUUAGUUCCUUUACAGCAACCAAAGUUAUCGAAACUAUCAUUAGAACAUUGAAGCACAGACAGUAUUUUAAUCAGCAGCGAAUCUUUGAAAAUCAAUUCAAUUUCUGCAUUGUGGUUUUAGUAAGAUGGAAAUAUUUAUGUGAACAAAUAAAAUAACAAUAUAAUUGGCUAAGAAAAAUUGUCUUCUUAGUGCUAAAAUAGACGAUACCAUAUAUCAUAAUGAAACCUAUUUCAUUUGUAUUGUACAAAUAUUACACCGUCGCGUCUCCAACAAUUCUACAUUCCAUGACUUGUACAAAUGCUGAUUUCAUGCCUUGUUCACUAUCUUCCAUCUAUAUAUAAUAUAUACAGUAACACGUAAUAAACUGGGGCUGUUCGAUUAGAGAUAUUUAUUAGUCAAUAAAUGUUAUUUUUACGUUUUUCA
rnacentral:lncRNA from 1 species